rnacentral:rRNA from 1 species
UACGUAGGGUGCGAGCGUUGUCCGGAAUUAUUGGGCGUAAAGAGCGUGUAGGCGGCCAUACAGGUCAGCUGUGAAAACUCGAGGCUCAACCUCGAGACGUCGGUUGAAACCGUAUGGCUAGAGUCCGGAAGAGGAGAGUGGAAUUCCCGGUGUAGCGGUGAAAUGCGCAGAUAUCGGGAAGAACACCCGGUGGCGAAGGCGGCUCUCUGGGACGGUACUGACGCGUGAGACGCGAAAGCGUGGGGAGCGAACGAGG